rnacentral:rRNA from 1 species
CGCGCAGGCGGCCGACGUAGUCAGGCGUGAAAGCCCCGGGCUUAACCUGGGAAUAGCGUUUGAUACUCGUUGGCUGGAGUUCGGGAGAGGAUGGUGGAAUUCCCAGUGUAGAGGUGAAAUUCGUAGAUAUUGGGAAGAACACCGGUGGCGAAGGCGGCCAUCUGGACCGAAACUGACGCUGAGGCGCGAAAGCGUGGGGAGCAAACAGGAUUAGAUACCCUGGUAGUCCACGCCGUAAACGAUGUGUGCUAGACGUUGGCGGACCUAGUCCGCCAGUGUCGCAGCUAACGCGUUAAGCACACCGCCUGGGGAGUACGGCCGCAAGGUUAAA